rnacentral:lncRNA from 1 species
GACAAUAAAUUAGCGCGCACACAACCGAUUACAUCACAUAAACAUUCAAAUUUUAAUUCUAAGAUUCCUCGAAACCUGAUCAAGUAAGACCAAUAUCCAAUUCCCAAGUUUCUUUGGUCAAAUUGAUGAUCGUUUGAAAAAUAACUUCAAAAAAGUUGUCUUUUUCUUUUCUUCUUUUUGGGUCUUGACGACUCACUUCAUUGCUUUGAAAAGGCAAAGGCGAGAUCUUUUUCACUUUCGCAAGGCAAAGGUGAGAUCUUUUUCACUUUCACUUUAGACCCUUUUCCUUAAUCUGUAUUUUUAGUUUUGGGUUUCAAUUUUUUGUUCAUAUUCAAGAUCAUAGGGAUUAGGGAGUAAUUGCAAUCACAUUUCACAUUGAAGGUGUGUCUGGUGUCUAACUAAGACUAGUUCUUUGUGUUUGAAUCUAUUUUCUUAAAUUAUUACCGGUGUUUAUGAGUUAGUAUCGUGUCUGGUGUCUGUGUUAUUGUCAUUGGUUCAUAGAUAGAGUAAUAUUUUGAGUUUUGAUGAUUUUUUAUUUGAUUAAUGUAGGUUCAUCAAAGAUUAUGGAAGAAAUUAUGAUGGAUAUAGAUGGAUAUGGUGAGCAGCGGAUUCUGCCUGAUGCUCUUCCAUUUGCUAGAAGGUUAGUUUUUUUUUUUUUUUUUUUUUUUAAAAA